UGGGGAAUAUUGGACAAUGGGCGAAAGCCUGAUCCAGCCAUGCCGCGUGUGUGAAGAAGGUCUUCGGAUUGUAAAGCACUUUAAGUUGGGAGGAAGGGCAGUAAGCGAAUACCUUGCUGUUUUGACGUUACCGACAGAAUAAGCACCGGCUAACUCUGUGCCAGCAGCCGCGGUAAUACAGAGGGUGCAAGCGUUAAUCGGAAUUACUGGGCGUAAAGCGCGCGUAGGUGGUUCGUUAAGUUGAAUGUGAAAGCCCCGGGCUCAACCUGGGAACUGCAUCCAAAACUGGCGAGCUAGAGUAGGGCAGAGGGUGGUGGAAUUUCCUGUGUAGCGGUGAAAUGCGUAGAUAUAGGAAGGAACACCAGUGGCGAAGGCGACCACCUGGGCUCUUACUGACACUGAGGUGCGAAAGCGUGGGGAGCAAACA
rnacentral:rRNA from 1 species